CGAGGAUUUCAGAUCUAAAACCCUUUUCGCGAGUUGACUCUCCGAGCUCCGUAGAUCUGAAGUCAAAGUUCGGCCGCCCGCAAAACUCCAACGAGCAGAUCUGGCAAAUCCGUUCGUCCUCGGCUGAAGGUGAGCGCACCGUUGCGUUCGUAUCGUCGAUCUCGUUCCGUUUUGCUAUUCAUGCGCGAGAUCGGACUUUAUUUUCAGCUUCUCCUUUUUUUCUCUAUUUCUUCCCAUUACUGUUCUGUACCGUACCAUGGCCGCCUGUUCCGCUCCAGCGCCAUGCGCACCGCCCGCCCGUGCCGCAUCUCGCCUGCGCGCUGCGCCGUCGCCGUCCUGCCCCGCGGGUGCUGCCACCGGCCACCGCUCGCCGCCGGCCGGUCGUGCCCACCGAGUUGCCUAGUCACCGGUAACGCACGGACAGAACCAGAUGCAACCAGGAAGAAGAAGGAGGUUUUGUGUUUUAGCCCCCGAAGAAAAAGGAAAUUCCGAUGGAAAGUUUGUGUCUUGUGGUUUUGCAAAAAGGUCCUGGAAAAGUUAGAUUUUCAAGUCUCAGUCCAGCCCCUGAGUUUUUGCAAAUCUAACCCUGUAAAUUCUGUUAUUUGCAAGCACUAUUGCCUGAGUCUUGCAAAUCUUCCUUUCUACCCCCUGCCGUCUAUGAUUAAUUGCAUCUAGGUCCCUACCACCUUGUUUAUCUCAUAACUUCUUCGUUCUAGCUCCGUUUUGAGUGAUUCUUUCGCUCACGCGUUCGUCUUAACGAGUAGAUUACUUUGGUACUGCUUUUAAGUACUAUUUUUGAUGAUUGGUGUACUGUUUUUAAUUAAAUGCAUUUGUUUGCUUGUAUGUGCUCGUGUGACGCGUAUAGAAGAAGCGUAGUUUGAGGAAUCCAAAGAAGAGGAAGACUGAAGACUCUGAGCAGCAGCAGGGCUUUGAGGAAGGCAAGUGUCCUUGGUCAUUCCCGUUUAUACCUAAUUGACAUGCAUUGAUUCACAAUAUUUAUUUACCGCGUGCAUUAACAUGAUGGGUUCCUAUUAAGGACAAUGCCUAGUUUCUCUUGAUCAUACCUUGCAGCCGGGUUGUUUAAUUAAUCUUGAGGGUAGAUUAUGCUUAGCUUGCUCAACUGGGUUGGUAAAUAAACAACAUGGUUAAUUUAUUUAUUUACUCUGUUCCUUUAUGUUGAUUUAAUUACAAGACCAUAUAUUUUAAUCGGAACAUGGAGCGACCACCCAGGAAAACAAUACAGCCACAAGGACUAAAUGGCUCUGGUCUUGGCUAACUAAUUAGAGGACUCUAGUGUUGGACUGGUGUUAAGGGGGGGCAUGACUCGCGGAACCUCGUGCACUGGAACACACUAGGGAAGUCUUUAUAAAGGCCUCGUAGCGUCCCUAUGCAAUCACACCUCGGAAGUGUGGUAUUGUGCCUACUUUUGCACAGCAUGGUUGGGUCUAAAGUUCACCUGAACUUUUACGCGACUUGUGGGUAAAGAUGUACAACCUCUGCAGAGUGUAAAACUGUUAUAACAGCCGUGCUCACGGUCAAGAGCGGCCUGGACCCUCACAUGAUUAAUUUACUUGAAGAUGAUACUACUGUGUUAUAUGUUAUGUUCAUGCUUAUGGUAUAUCAUUGUUCUAUAUUAAUUGUGGGAUGGUAUAAACUUACAUUUUCUAGUAAUUAGAUGAUGAAUAAAAUUGGACCAACUAAAAGUGCUAAUCGCAAUUAACCUUGUCAGCCUUCCACCAUAUAAAGCCUUGCAUGUCAUAUAUAUUUCUCUCUUGCUGAGUACGACAUGUGCUCACGCUUGUGUUUUAUAUAUUGCAUCUACAACGUCCGGAUUGCUGCUCAGACCCGGAGAAUUUUGAAGAUUACUAAGGUUUUUGGAAGAGUUCUAGGCGAGUCCACCAGUCAGCUGCCUGUGGAGUUUUUGGAGAUCCGCUGCCUAUAUUAGAGAUUUCUGUCUCAAUUCUGGUUACAUAAUUUAUGUCAUUCUCUCUUUACGCUAUAACACUGUAUUUGAUAUUUACUGAAGUCAUCGUAUGUGUGAAACUUGAUCCUGGCACACAUAUGAUAGUCAUCUAGUUUUGCCUUUAAAACCGGGUGUGACAAACACUCAACUCAAGGCUAACCUAUUACAUCACUAUCCAAAAUUUAGGUUGUCGAGGAGU
rnacentral:lncRNA from 1 species